rnacentral:rRNA from 1 species
GAUGAACGCUAGCGGGAGGCUUAACACAUGCAAGUCGAGGGGCAUCACGAGGUAGCAAUACUUUGGUGGCGACCGGCGCACGGGUGAGUAACGCGUAUGCAACCUACCCUGUACGGGGGGAUAGCCCGGAGAAAUUCGGAUUAAUACCCCAUAAAGAUAUCGAGAGGCAUCUUUUGAUAUUUAAAGUUUCGACGGUACGGGAUGGGCAUGCGUAACAUUAGCUAGUUGGUAGGGUAACGGCCUACCAAGGCGACGAUGUUUAGGGGUCCUGAGAGGGUGAUCCCCCACACUGGUGCUGAGACACGGACCAGACUCCUACGGGAGGCAGCAGUGAGGAAUAUUGGUCAAUGGGCGUAAGCCUGAACCAGCCAUCCCGCGUGAAGGAAGAAGGCGCUAUGCGUUGUAAACUUCUUUUCCAGAGGAAUAAAAUUUUGUACGAGUACGGAACUGAAGGUACUCUGGGAAUAAGCAUCGGCUAACUCCGUGCCAGCCGCCGCGGUAACAC